rnacentral:rRNA from 1 species
UACGUAGGGUGCGAGCGUUAAUCGGAAUUACUGGGCGUAAAGCGUGCGCAGGCGGUUUUGUAAGUCAGAUGUGAAAUCCCCGGGCUUAACCUGGGAACUGCGUUUGAAACUACAAGGCUAGAGUGUAGCAGAGGGGGGUGGAAUUCCACGUGUAGCAGUGAAAUGCGUAGAUAUGCGGAGGAACACCGAUGGCGAAGGCAAUCCCCUGGACCUGUACUGACGCUCAUGCACGAAAGCGUGGGGAGCAAACAGG